AUUAGUUUCAAAACUAUAUUUUGUAGUUGUUGAUCUAACUAUGAGAUCCUAUUUUGCCCUGGGGUUAUAUACCUCGAUAUAUGAGGUAAAAUUCUGCAUUCCUACUAUGCUCGAAAGGUGUUUGGUUAUAUGCCUUCUUUUCUAAUUCUUUGUAUUUUAUGUGACUAUACUUUUAGGACUUAUCAUUCCAUCAGUUGGCUAGUGGUCGUCGUGCAUCGUGCUCUGUUCUAUCAGUUCUCUGUGGAAACGGCCUUUCUCUUGUCAUCAUUAAAGGAAAUAGCACCUGAUGGCGAUUCAAGCUUCCUUCGAGUGUUACGACUCACUAUUCAAUUCGUUCACAAAUGGUCGUGGCCCGUGCUGCGUCCUACCAGUUUCGUGUUUUUAUGGUAGAAAUGGUCUUGAUCUUUUCAACAUUUAUGGAAAUAGCGCCUGACGGCCAUUUAAGCUUCCUUCGAGCUUCAAUCGUGGCCAAACUGAAUUGCAAGGAUUCCAAAGUAGCCAGUUCUUCCCCAACUGCACAGUUGAAUUUAAAAGCAAAAACCUGACAAAACCCAACAGAAUUACUGAAGCCAUAACAAGGACAACAAUCAAGGCAACUGCUCGUGAUGAAAGUUUCU